UGUUGGGGCUGUCGGACUGCACGGCUCCCCCUGCUCUCCCUCCCUCCGAUCUGCUUUAUGUGGGACGCUAGAGGAAGCGUCAUCUCCCGUCAAACCUCGUCCAGACACCCGCCCCUUCCACAGCCCGGACGGGGGAGGAGACAAGGGCGACACUGACAAUUACACAUCGCUUAUCAGUGAUGGGAGG